GUUUCUGUAGUGUAGCGGUUAUCACGUUUGCCUAACACGCAAAAGGUCCUCGGUUCGAAACAAUCGAGCAGAAACA
rnacentral:tRNA from 1 species